rnacentral:antisense_RNA from 1 species
UCCAAUGGUCGGGCAUGGGCGGGGGAGCCUUCGGGCUCGCUGGUUUCCUAGACACCAGUACGCCAACCCUGCUCAUUGCCCGGCCACCCCA